CUACACGAACCCCGAAAGAAUAUGCAAUUGUUUUUGAUGUGAUUCCAAUGUUUUUUUUAAAUAUUGCUUUUAUUCCUCUGUGGUUGAUUUUGUGUUUGAGGAUACGAGCGAUUCCACUGACCGCAUUGGAGCGCACUGGUGGAAGACCCACGUAGUUUCCAGAACCUGCACUCCCAACUUCGUAUCAUCUGACCUUCAGAGCGUCUGCAGUACACCAACUACCCCUGGAAGAUUAAGUUCACGGCUACUUGGAUUAGUGUCUACAUGGAAGUGGUGGUGACAGGGUUAAUUUACUACAGGUAAACACAGGCAUCUAGAGAUGGGGUCAGUGGUGCCUGUAAUCAGAUGAGAAAGCAGCCGGUUGUGUGUGUACACGCCCUGCCCUG
ensembl:lncRNA